rnacentral:lncRNA from 1 species
CUCACCCCAGUACUUCUUCGGCCUACCCCUACCCCGCUUAAACCCAUCCAACGCUAGCCUCUCACACCUACGGACCGGGGCAUCCUUGCCCCUCCUUUUCACGUGUCCGAACCAUCUCAAUCGGGCUUCCCGCAUCUUGCACUCCACUGGUGUCACACCAACCUUCUCCCGGAUGUUCUCAUUCCGAACUCUAUCCCCUCUAGUCAGCCCACACAUCCAGCGCAACAUCCAUAUUUCUGCCACCCUCAUCUUUUGGAUGUGGGAGUUCUUCACUGGCCAACACUCCGCUCCAUACAACAUGGCCGGACGGACUACCGCCCUGUAGAAUUUGCCCUAUUUUUACAACUUGUAUAACUGGUUUUAUCUUGUUAUAUAAUAUCUCUGCUGGUGCAGUAUAACACUUUAUAUAAAAUAGAUUUUCUUUGGUUACUCUUUUAUAGGUACUUCUCCCGGAUGUUCUCAUUCCGAACUCUAUCCCCUCUAGUCAGCCCACACAUCCAGCGCAACAUCCGCAUUUCUGCCACCCUCAUCUUUUGGAU